CCUACGGGUGGCAGCAGUGAGGAAUAGUGGUCAAUGGACGAGAGUCUGAACCAGCCAAGGAGCGUGAAGGAUGACGGCCCUAUGGGUUGUAAACUUCUUUUAUAUGGGAAUAAAAUGUUCCACGUGUGGGCUUUUGUAUGUACCAUAUGAAUAAGGAUCGGCUAACUCCGUGCCAGCAGCCGCGGUAAUACGGAGGAUCCGAGCGUUAUCCGGAUUUAUUGGGUUUAAAGGGAGCGUAGGUGGGUUGUUAAGUCAGUUGUGAAAGUUUGCGGCUCAACCGUAAAAUUGCAGUUGAAACUGGCAGUCUUGAGUACAGUAGAGGUGGGCGGAAUUCGUGGUGUAGCGGUGAAAUGCUUAGAUAUCACGAAGAACUCCGAUUGCGAAGGCAGCUCACUGGACUGCAACUGACACUGAGGCUCGAAAGUGUGGGUAUCAAACAGGAUUAGAUACCCGUGUAGUC
rnacentral:rRNA from 1 species